rnacentral:rRNA from 1 species
GACGAACGCUGGCGGCGUGCCUAAUACAUGCAAGUCGAACGCUUCUUUCCUCCCGAGUGCUUGCACUCAAUUGGAAAGAGGAGUGGCGGACGGGUGAGUAACACGUGGGUAACCUACCCAUCAGAGGGGGAUAACACUUGGAAACAGGUGCUAAUACCGCAUAACAGUUUAUGCCGCAUGGCAUAAGAGUGAAAGGCGCUUUCGGGUGUCGCUGAUGGAUGGACCCGCGGUGCAUUAGCUAGUUGGUGAGGUAACGGCUCACCAAGGCCACGAUGCAUAGCCGACCUGAGAGGGUGAUCGGAGACACUGGGACUGAGACACGGCCCAGACUCCUACGGGAGGCAGCAGUAGGGAAUCUUCGGCAAUGGACGAAAGUCUGACCGAGCAACGCCGCGUGCGUGAAGCAGGUUUUCGGAUCGUAAAACUCUGUUGUUAGAGAAGAACAAGGACGUUAGUAACUGAACGUCCCCUGACGGUAUCUAACCAGAAAGCCACGGCUAACUACGUG